rnacentral:lncRNA from 1 species
CCUAUUCUAAUCCUAUUCUAACUAAAAAACGACACUAUAUCUACCAACAAAAAAAAACUAAUCCUAUUCUCACUAAAUCAAUACAAAUAAAGAUGAUCUAAUCCUAUUUUAUUCUAAGAAACGACACUACAUUUAUAGAAAGAACAUUAAUCCUAUUCUCACUAAAUUAGUACAAACACACUACAUUUACAAAAAAUUCAUUAAUCCUAUUCUCACUAAAUCAGUACAAACACAAAUUAAAAAUUCUAUUCUAGCUAAAUUAUUACAAACACAUUCCAACAAAUUUAACUUCUAUGAAUACCAUUUUAUUUGAUAUUGUCUCUGUGGCAUUCAACAUAUCAGUUUCUCCUUGCUACUUUCGCUGCCCCCUCAGUUUUUCCAGUUUGUUUCUUCUCCAUAAUCUUUUUAUGCAAUUUCUCUCAGCACAAUUCAUCUUUUCGCAUAUCUUUUUUCC